UACAGAGGGUGCGAGCGUUGUCCGGAAUCACUGGGCGUAAAGGGCGCGUAGGCGGCUUGAUAAGCGUGCGGUGAAAGCCCGGGGCUCAACCCCGGGUCGGCCGUGCGAACUGUCGAGCUGGAGCACUGUAGAGGCAGGUGGAAUUCCGGGUGUAGCGGUGGAAUGCGUAGAGAUCCGGAAGAACACCGGUGGCGAAGGCGGCCUGCUGGGCAGUGGCUGACGCUGAGGCGCGACAGCGUGGGGGAGCAAAACAGG
rnacentral:rRNA from 1 species